GGCGGACCGACCAGAAGUUCGUGCUCUGAUGGCCGGGGAUGUGCAGAACUAGAGGAUGCGGAGCCGAUUGACAGCAGGCCUGAGAGAGAGAUCGAGCACUCACAGCCCAACAAAACAAUCAUCUGCUCUGCUGGAGUCAAGCAGCAGGUGCAGCUGGCAAUCUAACCUGCUGCUAGGUUUGCCAUCACCGUCCUUGGGUGACAAAACCAGAAAAAAGCAUUGAGAGGAUGGCCAUCUGUGAACCAGGAAGUGGACCCUCACCA
rnacentral:lncRNA from 1 species